GCAGAGAACUUUCCAGAGAUGGAUUGGUGGCCUUCGGGAACUCUGACACAGGUGCUGCAUGGCUGUCGUCAGCUCGUGUCGUGAGAUGUUGGGUUAAGUCCCGUAACGAGCGCAACCCUUGUCCUUAGUUACCAGCACGUUAUGGCGGGCGACUCUAAAGGGACUGCCGGUGUUAAACCGGAGGAAGGUGGGGAUGACGUCAAGUCCUCAUGGCCUUUAUGACCAGGGCUACACACGUACUACAGUGGCCGAUACAAAGGGCAGCGACACUGCGAGGUGAAGCCAAUCCCGUAAAAUCGGUCUCAGUCCGGAUUGGAGUCUGCAACUCGACUCCAUGAAGUUGGAAUCGCUAGUAAUCGUGGAUCAGCAUGCCACGGUGAAUACGUUCCCGGGCCUU
rnacentral:rRNA from 1 species